CUGACAGCCCGGCUCGCCACCCUCGAGGCACAGGUGGCCCGGCUGGCGGUGGCCGAGCCCCCCAUGCCAGCAGCACCCAAAGGCAGCAGCCCGGGCAGGGGGCCGGAGGCCGGGCAGCUCUGGGGGUCCCCGGCCGCCCGUGGGAGCCCCGGGGAUGACGGGAGACCCGGCUGGAGGGGACCCCCCGGCCCCAAGGGCGAUGCGGGAGGACGGGGACCCUCAGGAAUUCCUGGAGUGAAGGGUCCAGUGGGGCCACCAGGUAAGGGGGGGACAGUGUGGGGGGGACCCCAGACUGGUGCCUGGCCCAGCCGAGCCCCCC
rnacentral:lncRNA from 1 species